CUCUGGGCUGCUGUGUGCAAGUACAGAGGUGAUGCAGUCAUACCCAACAUCUCCUGGGUCAUUUCUGAUCAGAACAUCACCCACCAUACGUCCCGGAAGCGUUCACACCAACAAUGAGAACUUUACAGUUCUGGCCACCUCGGCCUAUGAGUUUCGACGACAUCAGCAUGGAGGACGAAAACCUGACGUGUGUGAUUCAGAACGACUAUGGAGAAGACAUGAGGAAAACCAUACACGUCCCAAAAUACUUUAUUUCCUCCAUUGCGGUUUUGAACACACGGUAGACCCUGCGUCGAGAGCCGAGGACAGCAGCCUGCACUACACAGAGUGACCCUGCAGCCAGCAAUCCACAACAGAGGGUCCUUUUCAGAGUUUAUGGAACACACCAGAAUAUAAAUUUACAUGUUUCAGAGCUGAUGGGUCAGCUGCAGACACUGUUGCCACGGCGCUGUUUUUUGCGAAGCCUGUGUCAGAGCGCGAUGCUGGCAUGUACAUGUGCCACGCUUCCUGGAAGCAGCACAAAGCCUCGAUCUUCGUUCAGGUGGAUGUAACCGCCAGGAAACCUCAAUCUUGAAGCUGAGCGUGAUCUGUUUCUCUCCGCCACUGCCGUCCUCCUCAUUGUGAUCAUUCCACUGUGCGUGUUCUGCCAGUGCAGUAAAGGAUGUGGAAGGAGUAACCCGUCGGCCAAGGACAGGAAAGAGAGCGAGUCUCUGGCCGCCCUGAUGCAGGACCCGCGUUCGCCCGAGCCCAAGAAAGCAGGGACAGCGCGAGAGCAUGCCGAGCUCGUGCGCUACACCAUAGUGAUCGACGUGAAAAGCGCCGUGUGACCGUUCGAAAGUGGCCCGCGCCUUGUGUGACGUUUUGCCUUAGUCUUUCAAGUUAUACUUGUUAAACUUUGCUCAAGCUAAACAUAAAGGGUCUUGUCAUUUUCAUUUCUGACAUUUCCAUUUUCUUUAUUUUUUAUGAACAUGCACAAAUGUGAAUUUUUAAAAA